UAAUUGGAGAGUUUGAUCCUGGCUCAGAACGAACGCUGGCGGCGUGCCUAACACAUGCAAGUCGAACGAGAAAUCGGGCACUCAGGCAACUGAGUGCCGGAGAGUAAAGUGG
rnacentral:rRNA from 1 species